UACGUAGGUGGCAAGCGUUGUCCGGAUUUACUGGGCGUAAAGGGCUCGUAGGCGGCCAACUAAGUCAUACGUGAAAUCCCCAGGCUCAACCUGGGAACUGCGUCUGAUACUGGUUGGCUUGAAUCCGGGAGAGGGAUGCAGAAUUCCAGGGUGUAGCGGUGAAAUGCGUAGAUAUCUGGAGGAAUACCGGUGGCGAAGGCGGCAUCCUGGACCGGCAUUGACGCUGAGGAGCGAAAGCCAGGGGAGCAAACGGG
rnacentral:rRNA from 1 species